UCACUAGUCCCACUCAUUUGAGAUCUAAUGACUCACUCACUAAUUCCUCACCAUGGGAAUUAGCUACAGCCCCAAAGGCUAGACUAUGCACACUAAUCAUCUAGCAUGCAAACAUCAACAACAAAUCCACAAUGAUUCACUCACUAAUUCCUCACCAUGGGAAUUAGCUACAGCCCCAAAGGCUAUGCUAUACACGCUAAUCAUCUAGCAAUGCAGCAUCAA
rnacentral:lncRNA from 1 species